rnacentral:rRNA from 1 species
AUACGGAGGUUGCAAGCGUUACUCGGAAUCACUGGGCGUAAAGCGCGCGCAGGCGGUCUUUUAAGUUGGAUGUGAAAGCCUACGGCUCAACCGUAGAACUGCAUCCAAAACUAUUAGACUAGAGUGUGGGAGAGGAAGAUGGAAUUAGUUGUGUAGGGGUAAAAUCCGUAGAGAUAACUAGGAAUACCAAAAGCGAAGGCAAUCUUCUGGAACACUACUGACGCUGAGGCGCGAAAGCGUGGGGAGCAAACAGGAUUAGAAACCCUUGUAGUCC